rnacentral:rRNA from 1 species
CCUACGGGAGGCAGCAGUGGGGAAUAUUGGACAAUGGGCGAAAGCCUGAUCCAGCAAUGCCGCGUGAGUGAUGAAGGCCUUAGGGUUGUAAAGCUCUUUUACCAGGGAUGAUAAUGACAGUACCUGGAGAAUAAGCUCCGGCUAACUCCGUGCCAGCAGCCGCGGUAAUACGGAGGGAGCUAGCGUUGUUCGGAAUUACUGGGCGUAAAGCGUACGUAGGCGGUUAUUCAAGUCAGAGGUGAAAGCCCGGGGCUCAACCCCGGAACUGCCUUUGAAACUAGAUAGCUAGAAUCUUGGAGAGGUUAGUGGAAUUCCGAGUGUAGAGGUGAAAUUCGUAGAUAUUCGGAAGAACACCAGUGGCGAAGGCGACUAACUGGACAAGUAUUGACGCUGAGGUACGAAAGCGUGGGGAGCAAACAGGAUUAGAUACCCUGGUAGUCCACGCCGUAAACGAUGAUAACUAGUUGUUCGGGCACUUGGUGCCUGAGUGACGCAGCUAACGCAUUAAGUUAUCCGCCUGGGGAGUACGGUCGCAAGAUUAAAACUUAAAUGAAUUGACGG